CCGGGGCACACACAGUUUGCCACCGCACGACGGUCAGCCUCAGGCGGCCCCCGAGCGGCGUCCCCGCCUCCGCCUACCACGAAAUCUCCCACCCCCGUGUGCAGGUGUGCGUGGUAACAAGAGGCCCGGCCCGCGGAGGGGAUGGCCGUGCCUGCUUUACGAGCUCCUCCCUUUCCUCCUCCACCUGCUCCGUGACCCGGGGGCCACUCCGUGACCCGGAGGCCGCCGGGAACCGGAAACAGCUGCUGCUGGGCCUCGGAUGCGCGAGGGACGACCUGGAGCGCCCCGGGGAACCUUGGAGGGCCUGGUGCCACACCCCGCACGGCCAAGGACCCUCCCCGCCACAGGGAGGCCACUCACGGCCACCGCCAAGAGAGAAUAUUUUCUGA
rnacentral:lncRNA from 1 species